rnacentral:rRNA from 1 species
GAUGAACGCUGGCGGCAGGCCUAACACAUGCAAGUCGAGCGGUAACAGAGAAGUAGCUUGCUACUUUGCUGACGAGCGGCGGACGGGUGAGUAAUGCUUGGGAACAUGCCUUGAGGUGGGGGACAACAGUUGGAAACGACUGCUAAUACCGCAUAAUGUCUACGGACCAAAGGGGGCUUCGGCUCUCGCCUUUAGAUUGGCCCAAGUGGGAUUAGCUAGUUGGUGAGGUAAUGGCUCACCAAGGCGACGAUCCCUAGCUGGUUUGAGAGGAUGAUCAGCCACACUGGGACUGAGACACGGCCCAGACUCCUACGGGAGGCAGCAGUGGGGAAUAUUGCACAAUGGGCGCAAGCCUGAUGCAGCCAUGCCGCGUGUGUGAAGAAGGCCUUCGGGUUGUAAAGCACUUUCAGUCAGGAGGAAAGGUUAGUAGUUAAUACCUGCUAGCUGUGACGUUACUGACAGAAGAAGCACCGG